rnacentral:RNase_P_RNA from 1 species
GCGGAGGGCCGGGCGGCCGCGUUGGGGCAACCCAGCGAGGAAAGUCCGGACUCCAUGAGACAAGGGUGCCGGGUAACGCCCGGCCGGGGUAACCCGAGGGAAAGCGCCACAGAGAACAAACCGCCCCGGUCUGACCGGUGGCAAGGGUGAAAAGGUGGGGUAAGAGCCCACCGCAGGUCUGGCAACAGAACUGGCAUGGCAAGCCCCACCCGGAGCAAUGCCAAAUAGGGGCCUCGUGCGGGCGAUCGGUAACGGUGCACCGUAGGGAUGUUUCAGCCCGAGAGGUCCGGGUUGGCAGCUAGACUGGGCCGGUAACGGCCUGGCCAGAGGAAUGGUCGCCGAAGGGGGGUAACCCCUGGAACAAAAUCCGGCUUACAGGCCCUCCGCACAA